AAUACUGCUAAUUUUCUCAAAGGUAUUUAAGAGAAGACACUUAUUCUCUGAAUUUCUUAAAUUGCGUAAUACUAGGUUUACUGUGUGCUGAUGCUGAGGAAAUAAAGAGACUGAAACAAAUUUAGCAAGCACCUGGAAUUGGUUAGUAAUGGGCUGUGUCAUUUUUCCUGCAUAGCUCUGCCAUCACAAUGCAAAGCUGCUUAUUUGCAGUGUUCAUUUUCACUUAAGGGCAGUCCAGAGUGGCACAUCAAAGAAGAUCUGAUGCCAGAACUCCACCAUCAGAAACAGCAAAGCCCUUCCCUGUCCUGGACAGGAUCCCCAGGUGCCUACUCUCUUCAGUGCUCACCUGACUCUUCCUUCUCAUGAAGAGGCUCAUUUAUGCUUCCGGAUUGAAACUUCUCAUUAUCUCGGACCAUUGAAAGUAGAUGAGAGUGAUAAAAACAAGAAAGAACUAAUGAAAUUCUAUUUACCUUCCAAGUGACAUGUAUGUACAAGCUGGGAAUAAAGUCGUAUUUCACAUUUGGUUUUAAAAUUGCUCUUGUUAGUCUAUAUUUCAAUUAUGCAUAAUUUUCCUAAAAUAAUAUAUUUAGCUUAUAACUCCCAAAAGCUAACAGCUUUGGAGAUAACGUUUCAAUUAACAACCUUUGUCUCAUUGAAUUUUAUACAGAAAAGAAAAAAGGGAAAGUAAAGACAAAUUUACCCAGUUCUCUUUAAUAAAUGAGAUAUUUUAAUAUAUUUGGACAAUGCUAGAUCCUAGUAAGGAUGAGGGUUAUAAAACCAAAAUAAUCCCAGCUAUUAAAUAAAAAAAAAAAUCAGAAAAUCCGAGUGCGAAUGCUGCAUUUUACCAAUUUAUAUUCAUAGUAAAUCACAAGGACAUGACUUGUUUAACGUGAUUUAUAUCUAAAAAAGAGAAAAUAUCAAAACUGAAAGGAAACCUAAGAUAUUAAACCAAAGAAACGCAUAGAAAGGAGAUAAUUAGAAACUCUUAUUUUUUUUUAUGUGUGUGUUCUUCUUGGUUCUAAGUAAAUGCUAAAGAAAAGGAGAAAGUAAGAUGUAAAGGAUUGAACCUAAAUUUUGAAAUUUCACCAUUUUGUUAGCUUGGGUUGGAUUCUGUAUCUCAGUUAAUAAUCUUAUAAAUAGGCAAA